GAUGAACGCUAGCUACAGGCUUAACACAUGCAAGUCGAGGGGAAACGACAUCGAAAGCUUGCUUUUGAUGGGCGUCGACCGGCGCACGGGUGAGUAACGUGUAUCCAACCUGCCCACCACUUGGGGAUAACCUUGCGAAAGUAAGACUAAUACCCAAUGAUAUCUCUAGAAGACAUCUGAAAGGGAUUAAAGAUUUAUCGGUGAUGGAUGGGGAUGGGUCUGAUUAGCUUGUUGGCGGGGUAACGGCCCACCAAGGCGACGAUCAGUAGGGGUUCUGAGAGGAAUGUCCCACACAUUGGAACUGAGACACGGUCCAAACUCCUACGGGAGGCAGCAGUGAGGAAUAUUGGUCAAUGGGCGAGAGCCUGAACCAGCCAAGUAGCGUGCAGGAUGACGGCCCUAUGUGUUGUAAACUGCUUUUAUAAGGGAAUAAAGUGGGAGUCGUGACUCUUUUUGCAUGUACCUUAUGAAUAAGGACCGGCUAAUUCCGUGCCAGCCGCCGCCGUAA
rnacentral:rRNA from 1 species